rnacentral:rRNA from 1 species
GUGGAAGUGUGGUAACAUAUGUAGCUUACUGAUACUAAUAGGUCGAGGACUUGACCA